CAGUAGCCGCGGUAAUACGAAGGGUGCAAGCGUUAAUCGGAAUUACUGGGCGUAAAGCGUGCGUAGGUGGUGGUUUAAGUCCGUUGUGAAAGCCCUGGGCUCAACCUGGGAAUUGCAGUGGAUACUGGGUCACUAGAGUGUGGUAGAGGAUGGUGGAAUUCCCGGUGUAGCGGUGAAACGCGUAGAGAUCGGGAGGAACAUCAGUGGCGAAGGCGGCCAUCUGGGACAACACUGACGCUGAGGCACGAAAGCGUGGGGAGCAAACAGGAUUAGAUACCCCCGUAGUCCCUGUCUCUUAUAC
rnacentral:rRNA from 1 species